UUCAAGAUAAGAUUUCCCACCGCAAGGGUAAGACCCCAGAAAGACUAUCUGGUUGAUAGGUCGAAGGUGUAAGUGCAGCAAUGUAUUUAGCUUAUCGAUACUAAUAGGUCGAGGACUUGACCAA
rnacentral:rRNA from 1 species